rnacentral:rRNA from 1 species
UCGGGAAUUUUGGGCAAUGGGGGAAACCCUGACCCAGCAACGCCGCGUGAAGGAUGAAGUAUUUCGGUAUGUAAACUUCGAAAGAAUAGGAAGAAUAAAUGACGGUACUAUUUUAUAAGGUCCGGCUAACUACGUGCCAGCAGCCGCGGUAAUACGUAGGGACCAAGCGUUGUUCGGAUUUACUGGGCGUAAAGGGCGCGUAGGCGGCAUGACAAGUCACUUGUGAAAUCUCUGGGCUUAACCCAGAACGGCCAAGUGAUACUGUCGCGCUAGAGUGCAGAAGGGGCAAUCGGAAUUCUUGGUGUAGCGGUGAAAUGCGUAGAUAUCAAGAGGAACACCUGAGGUGAAGACGGGUUGCUGGGCUGACACUGACGCUGAGGCGCGAAAGCCAGGGGAGCAAACGGGAUUAGAUACCCUCGUAGUCCCUGAGCGGGCUGGCAAGGCGCAU